rnacentral:lncRNA from 10 species
CCCUGCAGCCAGCUGCCCUCCCCAAGUGCCCCAUGCCCUGGGUGCCUGUCUGCCACCGGGUCUGGCUGGGUUACUUGGAGCUGGCAACCACUGUCUAGAACUCUUGCCCCAUCCUGGCCCUUUUUUGAAAAACAAAACCCAAAGCCGAGACCAUAGGCUGAUGCUGUCCCUGACUCCCCUGUGCCGGGUGCUCUCUGGCAGACAGGCUUCUCUGCCCGCCACUCUCCACACGCUCCCAGGACAUUCCGGCCCGCGAGGAACAUGCCCCAUGUGCAAAUCCCUCAGGGUGAAUCCAGCAUUCCAAGAAUCCUCAGCCUCAAAAGUUCUGAGGCAGUGUGAUGUCAUGGGAAGAGCACGCGGCUGCCCUGGGGAGUCGCCAGGCUCCGCGUGAACCUGGUGGAGUGUUUCCAGGGGAAGGCCCUCGCCCUUCCGCUCGGCCUGCCAAGCCCUGCAGUCUCCCAGAUCCGGCCCAUGGACCCUCACUACAGCCUGCUGGUGGCUCUGGGCAUCCCCCGAGCUUCACAGUAGUUCGUGGUAGUUUGAAGUGUGGACUUUGGAGCCAGAUCCCCAGAGUUCAAAUCCUGACGCUACACUUUUAGCUGUGCAACUUUGGGCAAGUUCCUUAACUGCUCUGUGCCUUAGCUUCUUCCCCUAUAAAAUGGGAACAAAUAGAACACCCAUCUCAUAGGGUUCUUGUGAGUUUUAAAGGACUUGAUACAAGUGCUAUAUUAGUGUUUGUUUGUAAUAUUAUUAUGCCAUGGGUUUUCCAAGCAACAGAGCAUGAAUCCUCCAGCUAUGCAGAGGGAGGGAUCACACUGUGCACCCAUAGUACAGAUGGGAAGACAGGGGCUGUUUCAAAUGUUAGGUCAAGGAAGAGACCUCAGGAUGCCUGGCUUCUGUUCUGAUUUUGGGCUCUAAGGGCUGAGCUUUGGGCAUAGUUUCCCACCAUGAAAGUCUUCAUCACCCAACAUUCACUACCAUCAUCCCGAGGGAAAUACUGUGAUGGGGUCCUCGCAGCUUGGGGUCCACCUUCAGUGACUUCCUUUAUCCCCAGCCCAAAGCCUGGCCAUUCGAAUCCACCACAGCUGGCCUCGGCACCCUGGCUGAUGGGCCUUAGCUGGCCCUCUGCUGUCUCACUCACCCUACGAGUUGAUUGACCUGGAAGUUGCUCUCCCGGAAGUCACUCUUUCCUUGCCUGUUUUAAUCUUACCACCUUGGUGUGGUGGAACAGCCCUUAAACUAGAAAAGCUAGGACCAAGAGGAAGGCACAUGGACAGAAAGUCGCCUAAAAGUUAUUUAAAAUCCCAGGUGCGACCAAUCAUGGAGCCUGUCUAAUAAAAGAGGGCUGGGGAGAAGGGGCCAGUGGAGGGAAGGCUCAGAGAUGCAGAGAUGCAGCCUGGGCUCACUUAAUGAAGGAACUUUCUCAUGGGGAGGGCUGCCCCGCAACAGAGGGGUCUGUCUGGG